UUAUAGUUUCGUUUCGACUUCCUCUAUUAGUUCUUCUCACUCUCGCUUUCUCUCUAUGUUCGUGUCUCUAUACCUCUUUCACUUAGUGGUUAAAACUAAUCAAUGCCCACAUCAAUAUCGAUCUCUUGAGAAUAAAGGUGUUAUUACUCAUCAAACUCGGGUCAGGUCGGGUCAUGCCGGCCUGUUUUUGUUCUGGUGUUUGGG